rnacentral:rRNA from 1 species
CACCGCGGUUAUACGAGAGACCCUAGUUGAUAGACUACAGCGUAAAGCGUGGCUAAGGCCUAACUAAACUAAAGCCGAACACCCUCAAGGCUGUUAUACGCUCCCGAGGAAAAGAAGCUCAUUAACGAAAGUGGCUUUAUCAUCCCCUAACUCCACGAAAGCUAGGAAA